AUGUUUGGGAUAUUACUGUGUCUGAAUGCUCAGACCGGCCAGUGCAGCAAGGCACUUUUGUUGUUUUUUUUUUUAGAGGACCCCUUGAAAAAUCUGAAGAAGGAAAAACCCAGAGAUGCUUCCUAUAUUGUGGAAAUAACCGUGACAGACCUUUAUCCUUUUGAGCCUUGGACUUUCAUCUUUGGACAAGCACCUUUGACAAAAGCCUCACGCGUGUAAAAACUGCAGGAGCACCGAAGUUCAGGGUUUCCAGAGGAAGCUGUGGUCUGCGACAUGCAAAGAAACGUCAGCGGUGGAGAGUGACGCUCGGGGUUAGUGACAAACUUUGUUUGUUUGGCUAAGCAGAAGCAGGUGGUUCAGAAGAGCCCGGGCAUCUGGGGGGGGUUUGGCCGCGCGCUCGCCCAGCUUGGCGUUUGAAACCUCCUAGCCCGUGUCAACCCCGCUGUCGUGUCUCAAUACGAGGAGCUGGCCGCGGUGAUGAGGGAACGAUUGUGAAGUUCGCGCUAAUCUUUCAACGUUUCAACGUUUUAGCUUUCUGAUUGCAUGUCGCCCGCUUGACGCGCCAGAGGCCUUACUGGCGCGGAGGGCUGAAGGCGAGAGCGAGAGGGUGGCAGGACCCGGGGGCGCCUCACGUGAGCCUGAGGACGUCUCGCUGCGCUGCAAGACUGAAGCAUACACGAAAAGCGCGCCGGAUACCCAGGAAAGCUGCCGGUUUUAAAGCGUUACUUUCCAGCGUUUACUAGGGACUAUUCCAACACGUGCUGGGUGACAAAGGUCUGUCCGUGCAUGAAAAGCUCUGCACUGAAAAGCCAGUGCUGCUCUCCUCUCUUUUGGCCGAUCCUGACUGCAAACGUGGUGACACGGUUUUCGGUCUCUGCUCAUGCUGCACGUAUGCAGGGUGUGUCUUCGAACGCUCUUGCCCGCUCCCUUUGCAAAUAGGGCUUGGGGUCUGCUAUCUUCCACACAGUUGCAGAAGACUGUGCUUUUAAUUCUUUAUUUUUGGUCGGACUCUGAUAAUGGAUUUUCAGGAAUGAGAGGCCCUGUGUAGAAGAACAUUAGUGCUCACCGGUGAAAGGAGCGGCUGUGAGCUAGCUGCAGGUUUGCAGGUACUGCAGCUUGGUGGGAAGGAGGCUGCCGGCGCCCGCCCGCGCCGUCCCGGGGCCCCUGCUCUGAGGCAGGCCCCGGAGGUGCCAGCAUUCGUCCACGCAGGGGGGCUUAUGCGGAGAGGAGCAAAGGUCUGCUUGCACUUAAGAGUUUGCAUGAAGACGAAGAAAGUUUCUUUCCAUAGUUUCUGGUUGUUAGAAGCCGGCUUCACGGAUUUAAGCGGUGCCUCGUGUGACAGCUUUAAUUUCCUGUGUCAGGGCGUUAGUUUUAAUUACCACUACUAGGAUAUGGCAAGGCUUCCGUUUUUCUUUCCAUGACCUAGGUAGGAUGCUUCCUCCUCUUGGCGGGCAAAUUGACUCACUGGUACCACGGCCCCGGAUCCGGCUGAUGGGUGAGAGUUCCCGCUGUGCGCAAUUUUCAGGAUUAAUUUUUGCUCUCUGUUGCACAAAUCUGCCUUUAUGCUCCCUUCCUGACUCACGCACACUGUGAGCAAUUAACUUGCUGUAAAGUUUAUGAAUUAUCUGCUGUUCUGGCAGUGAAAAAGUACAUACCAACGUGCAUGUAUCUAUGCUUUUUUACAUAUGAUUUUGAAAUAACCACUUAAAAAUAAAUUCUGGUAUUUAUUGCA
rnacentral:lncRNA from 1 species